rnacentral:rRNA from 1 species
GCAUAUCAAUAAGCGGAGGAAAAGAAACCAACAGGGAUUGCCCUAGUAACGGCGAAGUGAAGCGGCAACAGCUCAAAUUUGAAAUCUGGCUUCGGCCCGAGUUGUAAUUUGCAGAGGAUGUUUCUGGCGCGGUGCCUUCCGAGUUCCCUGGAACGGGACGCCACAGAGGGUGAGAGCCCCGUAUGGUUGGACACCAAGCCUGUGUGAAACUCCUUCGACGAGUCGAGUAGUUUGGGAAUGCUGCUCAAAAUGGGAGGUAAAUCUCUUCUAAAGCUAAAUACCGGCCAGAGACCGAUAGCGCACAAGUAGAGUGAUCGAAAGAUGAAAAGCACCUUGAAAAGGGGGUUAAACAGUACGUGAAAUUGUUGAAAGGGAAGCGCUUGUGACCAGACUUGCGCCGGGCGGUUCAUCCGGGGUUCUCCCCGGUGCACUCCGCCCGGCUCAGGCCAGCAUCGGUUUUCGUUGGGGGAUAAGAACGGCAGGAACGUGGCCCUCCUUCGGGUGGGUGUUAUAGCCUGCCGUACGAUACCCUGACGGGGACCGAGGUUCGCGCUCCGCAAGGAUGCUGGCGUAAUGGUCAUCAGCGACCCGUCUUGAAACACGGACCAAGGAGUCGUCCAUUAGAGCGAGCGUUUGGGUGUCAAACCCGCACGCGUAAUGAAAGUGAAAUUAGGUGAGAGCUUCGGCGCAUCAUCGACCGAUCCUGAUGUUCUCGGAUGGAUUUGAGUAAGAGUUUUAACGGACGGACCCGAAAGACAGUGAACUAUGCUUGUAUAGGGUGAAGCCAGAGGAAACUCUGGUGGAGGCUCGCAGCGGUUCUGACGUGCAAAUCGAUCGUCAAAUAUGAGCAUGGGGGCGAAAGACUAAUCGAACUGUCUAGUAGCUGGUUACGCG